GAUGAACGCUGGCGGCGUGCUUAACACAUGCAAGUCGAACGAUGAACUCCAGCUUGCUGGGGGGAUUAGUGGCGAACGGGUGAGUAACACGUGAGUAACCUGCCCUGGACUCUGGGAUAACCCCGAGAAAUCGGAGCUAAUACCGGAUAGGACCUUCUCCUGCAUGGGGGUUGGUGGAAAGUUUUUCGGUCUGGGAUGGACUCGCGGCCUAUCAGCUUGGUGGUGAGGUAAUGGCUCACCAAGGCGUCGACGGGUAACCGGCCUGAGAGGGUGACCGGCCACACUGGGACUGAGACACGGCCCAGACUCCUACGGGAGGCAGCAGUGGGGAAUAUUGCACAAUGGGCGCAAGCCUGAUGCAGCAACGCCGCGUGCGGGAUGACGGCCUUCGGGUUGUAAACCGCUUUUAGUAAGGAAGAAGGGGAGCUUGCUCCUUGACGGUACUUGCAGAAAAAGGACCGGCUAACUACGUGCCAGCCGCCGCCGUAACAC
rnacentral:rRNA from 1 species